rnacentral:tRNA from 1 species
GCUCCCGUAGUUCAACGGAUAGAACAUUAGAUUGCGGAUCUAAAAAUCGAGGUUCGAUUCCUCGCGGGGGCA